AAAAUAAAGAGAACGUUACCUGCGCUCUGGCCUAAAUAAGCUUAGGCCAGAGCGCAGGUAACGUUCUCUUUGUUUUU